rnacentral:rRNA from 1 species
GGCUUGAACUAAUGGAAUCCUUCCCUAAUGUCUUUGGUUGGGGCGACCGCGGGGAAACAAAAAACCCCCACGUGGAAAGGGAGCACCCCCUCCUACAACUAAGAGCCGCAGCUCUAAUUAACAGAAUAUCUGACCAAUAAGAUCCGGCAAUGCC